rnacentral:rRNA from 1 species
CAGUCGCCCGGUAAUACGAAGGGUGCAAGCGUUAAUCGGAAUUACUGGGCGUAAAGCGUGCGUAGGCGGUUUGUUAAGUCUGUUGUGAAAUCCCCGGGCUCAACCUGGGAAUGGCAAUGGAUACUGGCAAGCUAGAGUGUGUCAGAGGAUGGUGGAAUUCCCGGUGUAGCGGUGAUAUGCGUAGAGAUCGGGAGGAACAUCAGUGGCGAAGGCGGCCAUCUGGGACAACACUGACGCUGAGGCACGAAAGCGUGGGGAGCAAACAGGAUUAGAUACCCCUGUAGUCCCUGUCUCUUAUACA